GCCAUUCCAUUCAUAGGUCAGAUGGUGGAGCAUGAGACUUUUAAUCCUAGGGUUGUGGGUUUAAGCCCCACCUUAGGCA